CAGCCGCCGCGGUAAUACGGAGGAUCCAAGCGUUAUCCGGAUUUAUUGGGUUUAAAGGGUGCGUAGGUGGUUCUUUAAGUCAGGGGUGAAAGACGGCAGCUUAACUGUCGCAGUGCCUUUGAUACUGAAGAACUUGAACGAACUAGAGGUAGGCGGAAUGCGACAAGUAGCGGUGAGAUGCAUAGAUAUGUCACAGAACACCGAUUGCGAAGGCAGCUUACUAUGGUUUAAUUGACACUGAGGCACGAAAGCGUGGGGAUCAAACAGGAUUAGAUACCCCCGUAGUCCCUGUCUCUUAUAC
rnacentral:rRNA from 1 species